rnacentral:lncRNA from 1 species
GUCGCUCCUCACUUCCGAGAUCUUCGCUCCCAUCAUCCUGUCCGUUACGAUAUACACCUUAACUCCCUGGAUCCUAGCCUGUUACCACGUGCCUACCCUCGUGCAGUAAUCUUCUCCUUUUCACUUCCUUCCCGAUCCGCUUCUCACUCUACCUGAUCCCUUUCUCUAUCUACCCGAUCCACUAUACACCUCAUUUCCCCAUGUGUCACAUGCCUUCCCCACUUCCAUUGACCACCCUCUUCUCUCAAGUCGUCUGCCCCUCACCNUCACUAAUCUAUCCCGAUCAUUUUCUCUCUCCACCCGAUCCCUUUCUCCCUCCACCCGAUCUUCCUCUCUCCUCUAAGAACUCCCUACGCAAUUCAAAUGGUCUAUUUCUCCUCCCUAUCAACCUGUCCUCCACCCCAGCUGAGCCCUACCGAUCAUUUUCUCCCUCCACCCGAUCCGUUUCUCCCUCCACCCGAUCCACCCCUUACUCUCAAUACCUCCAUACACUAC